rnacentral:rRNA from 1 species
GCCUUAGUAGCGGCGAGUGAAGCGGCAAAAGCUCAAAUUUGAAAUCUGGCACUUUCAGUGUCCGAGUUGUAAUUUGAAGAAGGUAUCUUUGGGUCUGGCUCUUGUCUAUGUUUCUUGGAACAGAACGUCACAGAGGGUGAGAAUCCCGUGCGAUGAGAUGUCCCAGACCUAUGUAAAGUUCCUUCGAAGAGUCGAGUUGUUUGGGAAUGCAGCUCUAAGUGGGUGGUAAAUUCCAUCUAAAGCUAAAUAUUGGCGAGAGACCGAUAGCGAACAAGUACAGUGAUGGAAAGAUGAAAAGAACUUUGAAAAGAGAGUGAAAAAGUACGUGAAAUUGUUGAAAGGGAAGGGCUUGAGAUCAGACUUGGUAUUUUGUAUGUUACUCUCUCGGGGGUGGCCUCUACAGUUUACCGGGCCAGCAUCAGUUUGAGCGGUAGGAUAAGUGCAAAGAAAUGUGGCACUGCUUCGGUAGUGUGUUAUAGUCUUUGUCGAUACUGCCAGCUUAGACUGAGGACUGCGGCUUCGGCCUAGGAUGUUGGCAUAAUGAUCUUAAGUCGCCCGUCUUGAAACACGGACCAAA